GUCUCCGCGGCACCGAUCCCGGAGCAGGUCCUGCUCCUGGAGAAGGUCGUACAUUAAAGAGCUACGCGACGCGACCUUGGCCCAAGGUGCUGGGGAUCCAGGCCACAGCUUUGUACAUAUUCUCGGCGGACACAACAUCUUUGUUGGUAUGGGG